rnacentral:snRNA from 1 species
GUGCUUGCCUCGGCAGCACGUGUACUAGAAUUGGAAGGAUACGGAGAAGAUUAGCAUGGCCCCUGCGCAAGGAUGACAUGCACAUUCAUGAAGCGUUCCGUAUUUUU